rnacentral:sRNA from 1 species
GGAGCAGGCCUUUCAGGCAUCCUCUCCCAAAAACUCCCAGGCCCGGCCGGCAACGGCCGGGCCUUUUUUUAUCCUUCG